GUGCAGCAGUCGCGAAACUUCACAAUGUGCGAAAGCACGAUGAGGGAAUCCCAAGUGCUUGCUCGUAAGAGUAAGCUGUUUCUCUGUCUAAAACGCAGAGAGAGUAAGGGCUGGGUAAGACGGGUGCCAGCCGCCGCGGUAAUACCUGCAGCUCGAGUGGUGGCCGCUAUUAUUGGGCCUAAAACGUCCGUAGCCGGUUUAUUAAAUGCCUGGGUAAAUCGGACCGCUUAGCGGUUCGAAUUCCGGGUAGACUGAUAAACUUGAGACCGGGAGAAGCUAGAGGUACUCCUGGGGUAGAGGUGAAAUUCUGUAAUCCUAGGGGGACCACCAGUGGCGAAGGCGUCUAGCUAGAACGGGUCUGACGGUGAGGGACGAAGCCCUGGGGCGCAAAC
rnacentral:rRNA from 1 species